rnacentral:rRNA from 1 species
CAGCCGCCACGGGAAUACGUAGGGUGCAAGCGUUAAUCGGAAUUACUGGGCGUAAAGCGUGCGCAGGCGGUUAUAUAAGACAGAUGUGAAAUCCCCGGGCUCAACCUGGGAACUGCAUUUGUGACUGUAUAGCUAGAGUACGGCAGAGGGGGAUGGAAUUCCGCGUGUAGCAGUGAAAUGCGUAGAUAUGCGGAGGAACACCGAUGGCGAAGGCAAUCCCCUGGGCCUGUACUGACGCUCAUGCACGAAAGCGUGGGGAGCAAACAGGAUUAGAUACCCCAGUAGUCCCUGUCUCUUAUAC